rnacentral:rRNA from 1 species
ACGGGUGAGUAACACGUGGGCAACCUGCCCUUGAGACUGGGAUAACUUCGGGAAACCGGAGCUAAUACCGGAUAAUAUGAGGAACCUCCUGGUUCUUUAUUGAAAGAUGGUUUCGGCUAUCACUUAAGGAUGGGCCCGCGGCGCAUUAGCUAGUUGGUGAGGUAACGGCUCACCAAGGCGACGAUGCGUAGCCGACCUGAGAGGGUGAUCGGCCACACUGGGACUGAGACACGGCCCAGACUCCUACGGGAGGCAGCAGUAGGGAAUCUUCCACAAUGGACGAAAGUCUGAUGGAGCAACGCCGCGUGAGUGAUGAAGGCCUUCGGGUCGUAAAGCUCUGUUGUUAGGGAAGAACAAGUGCGAGAGUAACUGCUCGCACCUUGACGGUACCUAACCAGAAAGCCACGGCUAACUACGUGCCAGCAGCCGCGGUAAUACGUAGGUGGCAAGCGUUAUCCGGAAUUAUUGGGCGUAAAGCGCGCGCAGGUGGUUUCUUAAGUCUGAUGUGAAAGCCCACGGCUCAACCGUGGAGGGUCAUUGGAAACUGGGGAACUUGAGUGCAGAAGAGGAAAGUGGAAUUCCAAGUG